CACUAUCCUGCAGAGGAAGGCACCUAUGACGAGUAUGAGAACGAUCUUGGGAUCACAGCCAUCGCCCUCUACGACUACCAGGCUGCGGGCGACGACGAAAUCUCCUUCGACCCCGACGACAUCAUCACCAACAUUGAGAUGAUCGACGACGGCUGGUGGCGCGGGCUGUGCAAGGGCAGGUACGGGCUGUUCCCGGCCAACUACGUGGAGCUGCGGCAGUGAGCGCAGCCGGCUUCUCGCGGCAGACCAGGCCUGCCUCCGGCUGGGUGUGCAGGGUCGGGGAGGAGCCAUGUUGCUUUUAUAUUUAAUACUUUUGCUGAUGCUUUUGAAAUGUUUAUGCCACAGAAUUUGCUAAUAUAUUGUAGUCAUCUUCCUUAGGAGGACUCUGGUAAUUGUUUUAUGCGUUGAAGGUAUUUUCUUUUUUUGCUAAAUUGACUGUCAUUUGGAGCCGCUUCAGGGACCUUGAGUCCUCCUGAGGGCGUGUCGUCCUUGUCCCCGUUGUCAGCAGUCAGGACCCCUCGUGGCAAACGCGGGAGAUCCUUCACUCCAUCGUCUGCCGCCCGACAGCGGCCCUGUGGGGUCAGGCCGGGUUGCCAUUUUUGUAAGGGAGUCUCCGCGUUGGGAGGAAGAGGGAAGGACCUGAUAGGAAGUUGGAGUCCAGGAAAACGUGAGAAAGUGCAGUAGCUUUAAUGUCAGGCGGCGAGGCCUUUCGUACUGUGAAAUCCCACGGUGUUUGAUGAUAGUAGCAAAGACCCCAUCUCACUUCUCGUCCCGCCUUGUUUGUCAUCUCCCCUAACACCCCAGCCACCUCUCCUCCUGCCCCCGUGGCACAGUGUCACCUGGUCCCUUAAAGUCUGCCCCUCCGCUCGUCUCCUGCCGCGGGCCCACCUGAACGGCUCCGGGUCUGCAGGCCUCGGCUCGUGUGCGCUUGGCUGAUGUCUGGUCAUCCCUCGAACACGUCUGCAGGCCCCGGGCCGCCGGGCCUGUGUCUGUUGUGCCGGCACAGGGCCCCUUCGCUGUGGGAAGGCAGGGGCCUGCUCUUUUGUAAACUGCCAGAAGCAUCCUUCCCAUCAAGGGAGUCAUCCACUUUCUGCCAAAAUAUCGUGUUAAAUGACAGUAAAAUUUGACUGAUUGACUUGGCUAAAAAUACAAAGUGAACAAGAGUGGGUGCCCUGGCCCGAGAUGCCCCGGGCGGCCGCUCUCCAUGGACGCUGGGCCGGAGCGUGUCUCCCCGAGAGAGUGGGAGGCCCGGUCCGCGCGCGCCACACGGGUGGUGUCUUUCCGGAAGUCGAUGGCGUCUCGGGUGUCCGGGACGGUAAUGACUGUGAGGAUGAGUUUUCUUUCCUGAAGUGCAUUUCUGCAUAAUCCUUCCUUCACCACAAUUAGGUCGGGUUUAUAUGCAAUUAUUCUAUCUAAAUUUCUGUACCACCUCAUAGGUAUGAUUUUUUUAAUUAAAUAUCUGAAAUAAACUUGUUUUGAUCCA